UACGAAGGGGGCUAGCGUUGCUCGGAAUCACUGGGCGUAAAGGGUGCGUAGGCGGGUUUUUAAGUCAGAGGUGAAAUCCUGGAGCUCAACUCCAGAACUGCCUUUGAUACUGAGAAUCUUGAGUACGGGAGAGGUGAGUGGAACUGCGAGUGUAGAGGUGAAAUUCGUAGAUAUUCGCAAGAACACCAGUGGCGAAGGCGGCGCACUGGCCCGUUACUGACGCUGAGGCACGAAAGCGUGGGGAGCAAACAGG
rnacentral:rRNA from 1 species